UACAGAGGUCCCAAGCGUUGUUCGGAUUCACUGGGCGUAAAGGGUGCGCAGGCGGUUGGGUGUGUCAGAUGUGAAAUCCCGAGGCUUAACCUCGGAACUGCGUCUGAAACUACUCGACUAGAGUAUUGGAGAGGGUAACGGAAUUCACGGUGUAGCAGUGAAAUGCGUAGAUAUCGUGAGGAACACCAGAGGCGAAGGCGGUUACCUGGACAAUUACUGACGCUCAGGCACGAAAGCGUGGGGAGCAAAAGGG
rnacentral:rRNA from 1 species